UGAGGCACAGUGCUUGCUUAGGUAGCAUUGGAACAAUACAGGAAGAUUAGCAUGGCCCCUAAGCAAGGAUGACAUGGAAAUCCAUGAAGUAUUCCAUAUUUUU